ACGUUGCGUUAGCAACGGCCCGAAGGGCGAGACGAAGUCGAGUCAUCCUGCACGACCCACCA
rnacentral:sRNA from 1 species